UAGAGGAUAGCUAAUAAAGUGCUUCACUUACAAUGAAGUGAUCGUCUAAUAAGGACGUGCUCUAA
rnacentral:tRNA from 1 species